rnacentral:tRNA from 1 species
UCUAAUGUGGCAGAAUAGUGCAAUGAAUUUAAGCUUCAUAUAUAAAAUUUUUAGUUUUCGUUAGAA